AGGGAGUCUGGUGGAAGGCCAAGUGGAGCGUGUGUGUGGGCCUCUUUGUGGAACCCAACAGCCUUCCAAGGAAAGGGAUACCCAUCAUAGAAGAUUAGAACGUAGCGCAUGACCUCAGUUCACCUAAGUACCUCCUAAAGUCCCUGUGGGAGGACUGGAAAUAGUACUGGAAGGAGAGGCUAAUGGCAAAGGAGCAGUGGCCCGGAGGCCUCAUGAUCCUGUGGGCAACAAGAGGACAGCGGCGGAGGCCCUGGCUGCGUGGUUGCUGGACCCAUCUCUGUGGCUAGUUAGGGAUACCAGCUUGGAGCACGCCCCGGUCACUCCUGCAUUCUGCAGGG